rnacentral:misc_RNA from 1 species
GCCAAUGCUUCUGCGACUGCGUGUGCUAUCUCUAUCGCAUUAUGAUAAUGUAGUUGUGCUACCGGAUUCAAUUGGCAAGUUCAAACAUUUAAGAUAUUUGAGUUUUGCUGGAACGCCUAUUAAGAGAUUACCAGAAUCUGUCUGCAGUUUGUACAAUUUACAAACUUUAAUCUUGAUGAAGUGCAAAGAUCUAGUUGAGUUGCCAGCCAACAUGGGGAAGCUAAUGAACUUGUGUCAUCUUGAAAUUACUGAUACAAGCUUGAAAGAGAUGCCACUACACAUGGGGAAACUAACAAAGCUCAGAAAGUUAACCGAUUUUGUUU